CAGGACGAACGCUGGCGGCGUGCCUAAUACAUGCAAGUCGAACGGUCUUUCUAUGGAAGCUUGCUUCCACUGAGAAGAUAGUGGCGAACGGGUGAGUAACACGUGGGUAACCUGCCCAUAAGAGGGGGGAUAACAUCCGGAAACGGGUGCUAAUACCGCAUAGUUUUCUUGAUCGCAUGAUUGAGAAAGGAAAGACGGCCUUUGUGCUGUCGCUUAUGGAUGGACCCGCGGCGUAUUAGUUAGUUGGUGAGGUAACGGCUCACCAAGACGAUGAUACGUAGCCGACCUGAGAGGGUGAUCGGCCACAUUGGGACUGAGACACGGCCCAAACUCCUACGGGAGGCAGCAGUAGGGAAUCUUCCGCAAUGGACGAAAGUCUGACGGAGCAACGCCGCGUGAGUGAAGAAAAGGUUUUCGGAUCGUAAAACUCUGUUGUCAGAGAAGAACAAGUUGGAGAGUAACUGCUCCAGCCUUGACGGUAUCUGACCAGAAAGCCACGGCUAACUACGUGCCAGCCGCAGC
rnacentral:rRNA from 1 species